rnacentral:rRNA from 1 species
GUAAUCUCUGCGCAAUGGGGGAAGUCCAGACUGCAGCCCUGCCGCGUGAAUGAUGACGGUUUUCGGAUCUGUAAAGCUCUUUUGUUAGGGAAGAACAAGUGCCGUUCAAAUAGGGCGGCACCUUGACGGUACCUAACCAAAAAGCCCCGGCUAAUUACGUGCCACCAGCCGCGGUAAUCA